rnacentral:lncRNA from 1 species
CUUCUAGCCACUAAGUCCCACUGAACGCAGCUCUGCUUAUGUUGCUUUCUGAAAAUUUAACUCACUACAGACUAGAUUCUGAUGCUGCCUUCCUGUAGCUUCAGUUACCUCCACUAGCUGCUGGAGGCAGAGCUUUGUCUUUCACUCAGGCUAAGAAAGCUGUUUUGUCUCAAGAACAUUUUUUUGAAUUUCCAGAAAAGAUGGGCUAUACUUCAGUGGUAAACUACUUGCCCAGCCUAUGCAAGGCCUUUGAUCCUCAGCACUCAAAAGGAAAAUUUCAUCUGAAGAAACUGACCACUCUGUCUUUCCUAUAUCUUUUAGGGAUGAUCAGCUCUCUCAGGAGGAAAACCUAAUGAUUCGAAGUUUCCUGGACUCCCAGAGAAUGAGGAUUUAUUGUCCUUGAUGUAACUCAGAUCUUUA